rnacentral:tRNA from 1 species
GCGCUUGUAGCCCAACUGGACAGAGCACUUGACUACGGAUCAAGAGGUUGGGGGUUCGAAUCCCUCCAAGCGCG